UACGAAGGGGGCUAGCGUUGCUCGGAAUCACUGGGCGUAAAGGGUGCGUAGGCGGGUUUUUAAGUCAGGGGUGAAAUCCUGGAGCUCAACUCCAGAACUGCCUUUGAUACUGCCGUGCUUGAGGACUGGAGAGGAGACUGGAAUUUACGGUGUAGCGGUGAAAUGCGUAGAUAUCGUAAGGAAGACCAGUGGCGAAGGCGGGUCUCUGGACAGUUCCUGACGCUGAGGCACGAAGGUCAGGGGGAGCAAACGGG
rnacentral:rRNA from 1 species